rnacentral:rRNA from 1 species
GUGCCAGCAGCCGCGGUAAUUCCAGCUCCAAUAGCGUAUAUUAAAGUUGUUGUGGUUAAAAAGCUCGUAGUUGAACCUUGGGCCUGGCUGGCCGGUCCGCCUCACCGCGUGCACUGGUCCGGCCGGGCCUUUCCCUCUGUGGAACCCCAUACCCUUCACUGGGCGUGGCGGGGAAACAGGACAUUUACUUUGAAAAAAUUAGAGUGCUCCAGGCAGGCCUAUGCUCGAAUACAUUAGCAUGGAAUAAUAAAAUAGGACGCGCGGUUCUAUUUUGUUGGUUUAUAGGACCGCCGUAAUGAUUAAUAGGGACAGUCGGGGGCAUCAGUAUUCAACUGUCAGAGGUGAAAUUCUUGGAUCAGUUGAAGACUAACUACUGCGAAAGCAUUUGCCAAGGAUGUUUUCAUUAAUCAGGAACGAAAGUUAGGGGAUCGAAGACGAUCAGAUACCGUCGUAGUCUUAACCAUAAACUAUGCCGACUAGGGAUCGGACGGUGUUAUUCAUGACCCGUUCGGCACCUUACGAGAAAUCAAAGUGCUUGGGCUCCAGGGGGAGUAUGGUCGCAAGGCUGAAACUUAAAGAAAUUGACGGAAGGGCACCACCAGGGGUGGAGCCUGCGGCUUAAUUUGACUCAACACGGGGAAACUCACCAGGUCCAGACACAAUAAGGAUUGACAGAUUGAGAGCUCUUUCUUGAUUUUGUGGGUGGUGGUGCAUGGCCGUUCUUAGUUGGUGGGGUGACUUGUCUGCUUAAUUGCGAUAACGAACGAGACCUUAACCUGCUAAAUAGCCCGCAUGCUCCGGCAGUGCGCUGGCUUCUUAGAGGGACUUUCGGCUCAAGCCGAAGGAAGGUUGAGGCAAUAACA